UAUCCGUGGGUUCACUGCAUCACGCACAAAUCUUUCGCCUUUUACUAAAGAUUUCCGUGCAGAGGACCAAUAAAUCGGGAUUUAACAAUUUAUUUCUGCCUUGUUUUCGGAUGAGGCU
rnacentral:snRNA from 1 species